CCCAGACUCCUACGGGAGGCAGCAGUGGGGAAUAUUGCACAAUGGGGGAAACCCUGAUGCAGCGACGCCGCGUGAGCGAUGAAGUAUUUCGGUAUGUAAAGCUCUAUCAGCAGGGAAGAAAAUGACGGUACCUGACUAAGAAGCCCCGGCUAACUACGUGCCAGCAGCCGCGGUAAUACGUAGGGGGCGAGCGUUAUCCGGAUUCACUGGGUGUAAAGGGAGCGUAGACGGCCAAGCAAGCCAGGGGUGAAAGCCCGGGGCCCAACCCCGGGACUGCCCUUGGAACUGCACGGCUGGAGUGCGGGAGGGGCAGGCGGAAUUCCUAGUGUAGCGGUGAAAUGCGUAGAUAUUAGGAGGAACACCAGUGGCGAAGGCGGCCUGCUGGACGAUGACUGACGUUGAGGCUCGAAAGCGUGGGGAGCAAACAGGAUUAGAUACCCUGGUAU
rnacentral:rRNA from 1 species